AAUGGGAAACCCGGCGCGUUUUUUUCUCUCUCCUUCCUCCCCCGCGUCCGAGCUCGCCGGUUAGCCUGCAAAUUCUUCUCCGGCCAAUUUCUUCCUCCUCCGGCCACCAAUCUUCACCAAACUUCUUCCAUUGGCUUCGUAUGGUCCUUGCGCACCUGUAUGCGGUGACCUUGCACGGCAGCGCCUCCUGUAUCGGCGGUGGUGAGCUCGUUCCAAUUUGAGUUCGAUUUUGGUCAACGCCGGUUUUCUCCUAGUUCCGGCCACAAAAACUUCCGAUCCUUGGCUCCAUGAACUCCUCUCAACCUGCUGAUCAUCAUACUAGGAGGAUUGCACCUAGAGUGACCGGUUUCACGUUCGUCAGAGCUCGUGGGUUCCCCUUGAUGUUCUUAACAACUCUAUAGAAGGAAUCGAGGCCUGAAAUUGAAUUUUUUACGUCGAAAAUCGAGCUCGCCGGUUUCUGGAAAAUUUCCGGCCACUUCAUACUGUUCAAGGUGAUUGACGGUCUUCCUUGGUGAGCGGUUGUGGCGUGUUUUGUAAAAUAAGAAGACGCAGCUGGAUUAGAGCGGGAAGUCUUGCAGGUUAGGAGAAUCAGGGCGGUGAUCGUGCGGGUUAGAGUAAUUGUUGUAGUUUUACAAUGAUUGUAAUAGUGAGUUAUUCAAAAAUUCGGGGCGUGACACCUGUCGAGACCUGCCUAGACACCUUCCGAGCCCUGCACACCCCUGUGCCUACCCCUAUCGACAUCUGCCGAAAGCUUUGCAUAGCCCCUGACGACACCUGUCGAGACCUGCGCACCCCUGUGCCUGCAUCUGCCAACAGCUGCCUAGCACUUGCCGAGCAUCUGCCUGCCAGCCCUGCACAGCCUCCGUACAUCCCUGCACAGCCCCUGCAGCAACCCUGCCUAGCUCUGGCCGCCAACUAAAGGCCACCAGUUUCCGGCCACUUUUCCUGCGACCUCCGGCAACCUUUUUCCAGCCACCUCCGUCAACUUUUUCGGUCAAGAAUUCCGGCAUCUUUUCAAGGAUGAGUAACCUGAACAAGUUGAACUUUGUUCCACUGGAGACAACUGGCGCAGG